rnacentral:tRNA from 1 species
CGGGGCAUAGCGCAGUUUGGUAGCGUGCUUGGUUCGGGACCAAGAGGCCGCAGGUUCAAAUCCUGUUGCCCCGACCA